UGGGCUGUGAGAUGAGAACAGAGACACACUGAGCUUUAACCACUAACCAUCGACCAACUGCUGAGUGACGAGAAAAUAUCAUUAGCUUCUGAGAGACGAAGACAAACUGAACCACAGUGAACUGAACUGAAGACAGCGACUGUAACACAUUUCAGUUUCAUUCAGCAACAUGAACAGUGAAAAUCAGACCUUGAUGGAUGAACACAGUGAUAAUUCUACUGAUUAUUAUGGCAACAGUGUCCCUAAUAACACUCUAUAUAGUUCUUCAGAAAUCAUAAUGUUUAUCUUCCUCAUCGCUAGUGUUUGUGUGGGUCUUCCAGCUCUGGUUUGGGCUUUUCGUCUUCUGCACCUUCACAGAAAGAUCAGAGGCCGAAUCUCAGUCUUCAUCCUCCUCCUCCUCCUCAAUGACCUGAUACAAUUACCCCUUCAUCUAUAUAUAGUGACGGGGAUUCUGACAAAAUUCAGAUCCUUUAUUCUUGAGCUUGGACAGUUUUGGUUUGGAUUACAUUGGUGUGGUUUUCAUCUGCAUCAGCUGGUGGCUCUGGAGGGGAUUUUGACUCUGAAAUAUCCGCUUUGUUCUGCUCGUAUUUUCUCACUGCCCUCUUACAUCAUAAUCUCCAUCCUUGUGCUUUUUUUUUCUAUAGUGAGUGCAUUAUUUCUUUUCAAGCAUUCACAAAAUACAAACAUGUCAUUAUUCAGUCUCAGCACAAGUGUUGUUCCUCUGAUCUUAUUGGCUGUAUCAUCUACAAUCAGCUGUAAAGCCUCUUCCACUCCUGUCAGAAAAAACAGUUCAGUGCUCACUGUUGCUAUUCUUACAUUUGUUAUGAUGUACUUACCUUUCAUGUUCCUCAUCUGGGUGGAUUUCUUUCAUUUAUAUCCAUAUGUCAACCUGUCUUGGUUCAUAAUGUCUUACUGUUUGAGGAAUUUGAGAGUGAUUUCAGAUCCUAUUCUGUGUGUUUUGGUCUGCAGAGAAAAUCUCAGAGAUGUUCAGACGCCACAAACACACACAGAACCCAACGCUGAUGAGACGUCAAUCUGAACUUGAGAUUCAUUAGUCUGCUCUGAAUUUGGCUUCAAAACAAAACAUAAAAUGACCUGUAAAAUGAAAAGGAAUUAACAAAAUAAAUAUUAUAUGACUUAAAGAUUGAUUAAUUUGAAAAGUCUGUGAUUGCUAAAAGUGAAAGUGUGCUCUCUAUGCCACAAACAGCACAAGCUGAGUUUCCAUCUCUUUACUGAUCAUUUUGACAGUUUGUUUAAUAUUGUAAUAUAUGAAUAAUAUGUAAAAAAGUAAAAUCGAAAUGGUCAUGUUUGUUGUUAAUGAUUGAUUUCAAUAUUCAGCAAUUGAAAGAAUUGUACAGGGCUUCCCCUAUAAAAAAGUGUAACAUUCAAUGUGAUUUCAGCAGUUAAUCAUCCAUAUAUUAGAAUAAAACAUCUAACACAAUGCAGUUCUGCCCAGCAAAUGAUGAGCACAGAGAUCAUUAACAAUUGGACCUGAAAUGGUAUCAGAACUACAAAUAUAUGAACAUCUUCCUCAAAUGAACACAUUACAGUCCAUAGACAUUGUUUUUAAAGAACACAAUAAAAA